GGAAUCCGCCCGGCAAAUCUCUGUUUCGAUGUAGUAAUCGCAUAUCAGGCUAUGCAUGAGGGUAAGACAGCUGCUUAGGUUAAAACUCAGUAGCUACACCGAAUCAUGCAUGGAGAUACGGUAGUUGGAUUGAGAGAAAGAAA
rnacentral:ncRNA from 1 species